rnacentral:rRNA from 1 species
UACGAAGGGUGCAAGCGUUACUCGGAAUUACUGGGCGUAAAGCGUGCGUAGGUGGUUCGUUAAGUCUGAUGUGAAAGCCCUGGGCUCAACCUGGGAAUGGCAUUGGAAACUGGCGAGCUUGAGUGCGGCAGAGGGGGGUGGAAUUCCGCGUGUAGCAGUGAAAUGCGUAGAGAUGCGGAGGAACACCGAUGGCGAAGGCAGCCCCCUGGGUCGACACUGACGCUCAGGCACGAAAGCUAGGGGAGCAAACGGG